ACCGGAGUCACUUGGAAAGAUGGCGGACCGUAGCAGGCAGAAUAUUUCAAACGACGCACAUUUCAGGAGGCACAAACUGCUGCUAGAUUAGCGCCCGUUCAUCACCAGUUACUGUAUAUCCAGGUAUUUUGAAGAAGUCGUCGGGUGAGUGAUUACCGCCUCCUGCAAUGUGAACUCCCACUGUAGGAUUAAACAGACCCGCACUUGACAGUCCAAGUCCAGUGUGAAAGAGACGGUGGCUGCCUACAUGGACCGUAAAGAAGUGGAGGUGCCGCGUUGCGUUGAAGAAAACUUCCCUGAAAACCUGCAGCUCUCCCAGAUUGUGGAAACCUGGAAGUACGCCGUCACAGCCAAGCAGGACUGGAUGAUGGAGGGCUGAACUGAGUUUAUAGAGGUUUUAGUCUAAAUGCUGUGUUAUCAUGAAACCUUUUAGAGCCAAAGGAAGAUUUUACUUUUGUUUCUGCUUUUCUUGAUAAUUCUAUAAUCAUGUUUGUCUUUUAGGCUCAGGAAAAUCAACAAAGCACAGCAUCAUGAGUGAGCAUUUAUUACUUUUCAUCAAUGUAGAAAACAUUUAGCUGAAUCAUAUUCAGUAGUAGAAAUUCUGGCGAUCUACUAAAAACAAGGUGUUUGACUUUGACCAGGAUUUCCUGUUUGUAUUUUUACUGUUACAACCAAAAUCUGACUAUUUGGUUAAAAAGAAAAAAUAAAAUCUGCACGGUGGUACGAUGAAGUACAGGGAAAAGUCUAACGGCACAUUUUGCUUCUUUUUCUUUUUUUCAAACACUUCAAAGUUCUGUGUUUAGCUGCAUUGCUGUUCAUGUUCAUUUAUCUUUGACUUAUCAAAUUGUUAUGCGUUUUUGUUGAGACAUUUGGGAUCAGUGACUCUAGAAACAUUGAAUACAAGUCUUUGAGUUUAUAGAGAAUUUAGUAAUCAGUUUAUCUUGGAUCAUAUGUUGUAGAAACCAAAGGACAAUUUCACUUUUUAUUCUUAUUUUUAUGUUUGAAAUUUCAGUGGGUUUUUUUUUUUUGUUUGUUUAUUCAUCUGAGCGUUAUUUAGUAAAAAAAA